rnacentral:lncRNA from 1 species
CACGGGCUGACAUCCCCGGGUAGCAAAGGGAAUGCUCCGCUUUCCUGGGGGCUGCAGGGUGGGAGGGAUGUGCAUGUGCCCGACUGGUGCUGACCCCUAGCCAGGGCAUUUUGGGGUUAUUUUUCCCCAGAGCUUCCAGCGCCGGGCAAUGAUUUGCCCCUCAUCAGCCCCUUUAAGGGCGAAGAUGCCAGCGGGAGAACUACAGCUGUAGAUCUGAGUGCUGCCGCCAGGAGACAACAGCCUGCCCAGGGUGCCGGUGGGAUCUGGGGAGAGGGAAGCAGUAGAUCUGCUGCCUGGUCCAGCGCACACCAGGCUGUCCUUUCUGGAGGGCCAAUGCCUGAGGGUGAUUACGUGACACUAUAAUUGCUGGUGGAGCCUUUGUCCAGCGGGAUGGCUUGAGGAAAAACCUUUCCUGCUGGGAACCCAAGACCUGGAACUGCAAAAGGAACUGCACCGCCUUGCUGCACUACUUGUGCAGCCCCUCAGGGCAGCACUGAUUUCUCUCUCCCAUGGCACAAACCCAAAGAUGGAGGGGGCACAUGGACAGACACACAGCAAGUGCUGGACAGUUAAACACCAAAGAGAAAAUAAAAAAUAAAACAAAA